AGCGGCUCCUCCUGUGAAGCUGACAGGCGCAGGCGGCACUGGCCCCGUGACGUGCUCGGGGCCCGUCUGGGAUGGCACCUCUGCCCUGAGGGCCCUGCACAUCCCCACCCUUCCUGCAGCCAGCUCCCCCAAAGCCCUGAGACCCCCCACAAAUCCCGCUCCAGCCCCCCCACUACCUCCACCCGUCUCCAAACCCUACCGCAACCUGUUCAUUGACUCCAGGCCUCGCCCACAACUCUGUCCCCAGGCAGCGCCAAAGCCCCUCGCGGACCCUGUCCCCAUGGCAACGAGGUACCCUCCUAAAGAGGGGCUGCGAUGUGUGUGUGUCCUGGACUCAGUCCCGCUUUAGAGACAAGAGAAUUUGUAGCGCUUGCUGGGGAAGGUCGUGGACAGGUGGGUGCGCAGGGGUCAAGCAGAGGUUUCUCUCUCUUGUCCUGAGGCCCCUCUGAGAAGCCUUUGGCCCUGUGAGAGGGCUCUCUGAAGGCGGCUGGUCUAGGAUAACUGUGCUGUGUGCAGUGCUUUGGGAGAGCUUGAGCCUGAAGUUGCAGGCUAAGGAAGAGCCUAAACAAAUAAAAGGCUCAGGAAAAGCCUAGGAGAAGACUGAAGGGCUGAGGAAGCCCCGGCCGUGCUGUCGGGAAAAGCAUGGGUUUCAGGCCCAUCCUCAGGGAAGGAAGAGAGUUGUUACUCCAGCCCGUAGGACAAUGGGUGCUAUUAAUUACCCGCUUUAAUUACGAGAAGCAGAAAGGGCUAGAGAUGAUGCCUAGCAGAUUCUGGACUAUACGUAAAGUGGCAACAAACCACCCCCCCUUCACACAGAAACGGGUUAGUGCUAAGUAGUAGGUGAAUGUAGCUUUGAGUAAUGUGAGAAGCAGCGGUUAGGUCGGUCACCCUGAAAGCCUUGAGGAAGCGAUCCAAAAAUCUGAUACCUGCGUGGCCUCAUCAGUCCUUGUGGUUUGUUUGGCAGGGUGCUGCACGGAAGGAGGAUGUGUGGGAGAAGAACAGCCUGGACCUCGUGCUCCGCUGGUUCGCUUUGGUCAUCCCCGCUGAGACAAGUAUCCGCUUAUAGGAGGAACCUAGGAGACGCAUCAAAGAGAGAGAGACACCUGAGAGAUGUCUAUUUCAAAGGGGAAAAAUCCAGAGAAUGGAAACAAUGUUCCAUUCAGAGUGGCUUGUGGGGACAGACAGGUAGGAGGCCUGCAGUGUUUUUAUCUCAUAGCUUAAUUUCUUUGUCUCCUUCACUCUGCUAAAGCUGAAAAGUGUAAACUCGCUCUUGCUCAGAGCGAGCACCAGGAUGGCCACUUUCUAUUUGCUGUUUGGGUUUGUAAGUUGGUCCUUCCCUGUUGGCUCAGGAUGAUUUUUGAGGAAUGUCCUUGCAAAUUGGCUCUGACUUGAACUUUGCAUUCCCUGUGGGAAAUCCAAGUAGCCAUGUCCAGGGAACAGGACCAGCAGCAGCAGGCAAGUAGAGGAGGGUUUGUUGGGGGAGCUCAGGGAGGUGGUGGAGGUAAGCGUGCCCUUGCGUUGCCUGGAAAGGCAAG
rnacentral:lncRNA from 1 species